UACGUACUGUGCGAACGUUAUUCGGAAUCACUGGGCUUACAGGGUGCGUAGGCGGCCUGUUAAGUAGGGUGUGAAAGCCCCCGGCUCAACCGGGGAAUGGCGCCCUAAACUGGCGGGCUGGAGUGAGAUAGGGGUGUGUGGAACUUCCGGUGGAGCGGUGAAAUGUGUUGAUAUCGGAAGGAACGCCGGUGGCGAAAGCGACACACUGGAUCUUGUCUGACGCUGAGGCACGAAAGCCAGGGGAGCGAACGGG
rnacentral:rRNA from 1 species